rnacentral:rRNA from 1 species
UGGGGAAUAUUGCACAAUGGGCGCAAGCCUGAUGCAGCCAUGCCGCGUGUGUGAAGAAGGCCUUCGGGUUGUAAAGCACUUUCAGCGGGGAGGAAGGCGUUAAGGUUAAUAACCUUGGCGAUUGACGUUACCCGCAGAAGAAGCACCGGCUAACUCCGUGCCAGCAGCCGCGGUAAUACGGAGGGUGCAAGCGUUAAUCGGAAUUACUGGGCGUAAAGCGCACGCAGGCGGUCUGUCAAGUCGGAUGUGAAAUCCCCGGGCUCAACCUGGGAACUGCAAUCGAAACUGGCAGGCUAGAGGCUUGUAGAGGGAGGUAGAAUUCCAGGUGUAGCGGUGAAAUGCGUAGAGAUCUGGAAGAAUACCGGUGGCGAAGGCGGCCCCCUGGACAAAGACUGACGCUCAGGUGCGAAAGCGUGGGGAGCAAACAGG